CCCAGACUCCUACGGGAGGCAGCAGUGGGGAAUAUUGGACAAUGGGGGGAACCCUGAUCCAGCGACGCCGCGUGAGUGAAGAAGUAUUUCGGUAUGUAAAGCUCUCUCAGCAGGGAAGAAAGAAAUGACGGUACCUGACUAAGAGGCCCCAGCUAACUACGUGCCAGCAGCCGCGGUAAUACGUAGGGGGCAAGCGUUAUCCGGAUUUACUGGGUGUAAAGGGAGCGUAGGCGGUUCAGCAAGUCAGAAGUGAAAGCCCGGGGCUCAACUCCGGGACUGCUUUUGAAACUGUUGAACUAGAUUGCAGGAGAGGUAAGUGGAAUUCCUAGUGUAGCGGUGAAAUGCGUAGAUAUUAGGAGGAACACCAGUGGCGAAGGCGGCUUACUGGACUGUAAAUGACGCUGAGGCUCGAAAGCGUGGGGAGCAAACAGGAUUAGAUACCCUGGUA
rnacentral:rRNA from 1 species